UACGGGGGGGGCGAAGCGUUGUUCGGAAUUACUGGGCGUAAAGGGCUCGUAGGCGGCCAACUAAGUCAGACGUGAAAUCCCGUCGGCUUAACCGGGGAACUGCGUCUGAUACUGGAUGGCUGGAGUUUGGGAGAGGGAUGCGGAAUUCCAGGUGUAGCGGUGAAAAUGCGUAGAUAUCUGGAGGAACACCGGUGGCGAAGGCGGCAUCCUGGACCAACACUGACGCUGAGGAGCGAAAAGUGUGGGGGAGCGAACAGG
rnacentral:rRNA from 1 species